rnacentral:rRNA from 1 species
GACGAACGCUGGCGGCGUGCUUAACACAUGCAAGUCGAACGGUAAGGCCCCUUCGGGGGUACACGAGUGGCGAACGGGUGCGUAACACGUGAGCAACCUGCCCUUGACUCUUUAAUAACAGUUGGAAACAGCUGCUAAUACUGGAUAUUCAUCGUCUCCUUCCUGGGGGGUGGUGGAAAGCUCCGGCGGUCAGGGAUGGUCUCGCGGCCUAUCAGCUUGUUGGUGAGGUAAUGGCUCACCAAGGCUUCGACGGGUAGCCGGCCUGAGAGGGCGACCGGCCACACUAGGACUGAGAUACGGACCAGACUCCUACGGGAGGCAGCAGUGGGGAAUAUUGCACAAUGGGCGCAAGCCUGAUGCAGCAACGCCGCGUGCGGGAUGACGGCCUUCGGGUUGUAAACCGCUUUCAGUAGGGACGAAGGGUGACUGACGGUACCUACAGAAGAAGGACCGGCUAACUACGUG